CUUGAGCCUGAGUGUUUUGCUUAUCGGGAUCCAGCGAAUUGUUUUUCAGUAACAGAAACACAGUCACACCGGCUAUGACAACCGCCAAAAGAACCCAAAAUAUAAAACAAGCCAAACAUUUUCUUCGCCGGCCUUUGAAAGUAAAACGUUUGUUACAACUUCUGGUCAAAUUUGUUAAAGCGCAAUGAGUAGGGUUCAGUUCUUUGGCAUCUAUACUCUCAUAUACAUCAGAGUUACAAGACGUCUGGGUUUGUAUUUCCGUAUAAUAAUCAUCCUGUUCCACUUUCGCUUGGUUAUUGUCCAAACUAGUAAAUCUUUCAGAGGUUUGAUUGUGCUCCUUUGUACAAUCCCUUUUUUCUAUUCUUCCCCUGGUCGUGUUUUUAUAAGUGUUGUUAGUAUUUUGAACGUUUUGCAAGAUAUUAUAAUUGCUCUUCGAUAUUACCAAGUUCUCUGGCAACAAAGGUUCAUACGUUUAGUUUUUAUCAACAAUUGUUUCUGAUGAACAGAUAUUUCCAUCAAGGUUAGAGCAUAAUUUGGCCAUCAUAUACACGUAUUAUUCUCUUCCAAUCUAAACUCCA
rnacentral:lncRNA from 1 species